CUGGGCUCAUCCUGUCCUUUUCUGCCUCACCGACCCCUGCCCGGGCUCAUCCUGCCCUUCCCUGCCUCACCGUCCCCUGCUCGGGCUCAUCCCGCCCUUUUCUGCCUCACCGACCCCUGCUGGGGCUCAUCCCACCCUUCCCUGCCUCACUGACCCCUGCUCGGGCUCAUCCCGCCCUUUUCUGCCUCACCAACCCUUGCUCGGGCUCAUCCCACCCUUCCCUGCCUCACUGACCCCUGCUCGGGCUCAUCCCGCCCUUCCCUGCCUCACCCGCCCCAUCCCAGUCUCACCCGACCCCCGCACAGUGUCCCGAUCUGGACCAGUGCUGGUCCCCCUGUGCCGGGCACUGCUGAGGCCCUUUGAGUGCCGUGUCUGGUUCUGUCGCUCACUACAAAAGAGGCUCAGUGUGGGCACAGGAGGGCACGGAGCUGGGCAAGGGGCUGGGGAGUCAGCCCUGCAGUUCCUGUACAAGAAGGUGCGGGACAGCCGGGCGCUGGGCAGGAUCCAGCGGAUAUCAACCAUCAGCAGCCUCCAUCCUGCAGCCUCUCUGAGCCUGCUGAGAGCCUCAGGUGGAAUUUUUUACAACGCUGCCAUGCAUGACAUAGAUAUUAUCAGUUUGUUGUUGUGAGAGAGUGUGCCAGAUACAAUAUUUUCCCUGGGCCAUGCCUUCUGUGCAGAGAAAUUUCAGCUGGAGAAAAUGAUAAGGAACAGAAGACAAUUGGGCAGCCAGUCCAUGCCAUGCUCCAAAAAGAUGGAUUUACACCAUGACAUCCCAGCUUGUCAGGUCUGACCUGUCAACAGAACUCCCCAAGGGAGCAGGGAAGGAUUAUCCAGACCUCUGACUUCCCAGGACAGUAACUCCUUCCUCCACAACUGCAUGCAAGAGGUUCAGAGGAGGGAAAAAACUGAGUUUUGAAUAGAUAAGGCUGGAGACAGGAUUCUCUGCAUGUUUACAUGCUACAACAUGGAAUUAAUUUACUUGACACUGCGGUGUCUCAGGAGUCAGUAUCAAUUUUUAUAGCUUACACGAAAAUAAAUCUUUCUCCUUACAGCACAA